UACGGAGGGUGCAAGCGUUAUCCGGAUUCACUGGGUUUAAAGGGUGCGCAGGCGGCUUGCUAAGACAGGUGUGAAAGCCCCGAGCUUAACUUGGGAAUGGCGCUUGUGACUGGCAGGCUGGAGUGUGGCGAGAGGGAGGUGGAAUUCCACGUGUAGCAGUGAAAUGCGUAGAGAUGUGGAGGAACACCGAUGGCGAAGGCAGCCUCCUGGGCCAACACUGACGCUCAUGCACGAAAGCGUGGGGAGCAAACAGG
rnacentral:rRNA from 1 species